rnacentral:rRNA from 1 species
GUCCACGCCGUAAACGAUGAAUACUAGGUGUCGGGGAGCAUGGCUCUUCGGUGCCGUCGCAAACGCAGUAAGUAUUCCACCUGGGGAGUACGUUCGCAAGAAUGAAACUCAAAGGAAUUGACGGGGACCCCGCACAAGCGGUGGAGCAUGUGGUUUAAUUCGAAGCAACGCGAAGAACCUUACCAAGUCUUGACAUCCGCCUGACCGAUCCUUAACCGGAUCUUUCCUUCGGGACAGGCGAGACAGGUGGUGCAUGGUUGUCGU